rnacentral:lncRNA from 1 species
UGGCGUACUAACUGAAAAGCUAGCUGCUAGCUGAAAAGCUAGCUGUUAAAUAAAAAGCUAGCUCAUAGUUGAAAAGCUAGCUGAUAAAAAAUAACGUUUAGUAAAACUAGCUGAAAAGCUAGCUGAAAUAUAUAAAAUUACAUAAAAGGACAUGUAAGAGUAUGUGUUUCUAUAAUUAAUUAACGGGUGUAUUUGAAAAAUUUUAAAAAAGCUUCUAAAAAGCUAGUCUAAGUAGCUUUUCAAAAAGCUAGCUUAUAAGCUACUUUUUGGCUUACCAAACACGACAACAUAAAAAAGCUCGAAAAAUAAGUUAGCUUAUCAGCUAGCUGUGGCGCACCAAACACAGUUUUUGCCUUGUGAAGAGCUUAUUUCAAGAUCAUAGAUGGAUAGGGUGUGCGAAAAACUGAAACCAAAAAAUCAUGAAUGAAAAACCGAACCAUUUAAAUAACUGACAGUUUGGUUUUUUAUUUUCAUAAAAACUGAUUUUGGGUAGGUUCAGAUUUACCUUUUUAAAACCGAAAUUUAAACCGAAUCGAAUUAAAUUAUCUCAUUUUACCUUUUUGGUGUCAAAGUUUGUUUCUUUCUUGCUUUCAUGUUGUCAAGUUAAAUGUUUUUUUACCAAUUCUUGUAUAAAGCUUUCAAUAUUGUUGCUUUGUUUCUCAAAUUUGUAGUUUAUUUUUUUAAUGCUACUAAUUUGUUUAUUUCUCUACAGAUGGGACCACCGGGUAAUGAGGGGUUUAGAGAGUAUCCAUUGGAUACGGCAAAAUGAGUCUUUGAACUUAAAAGAUAAAAAAAGUUUCUCUUACAAGUGAUAUUUUGACAUUUGUACAAAAUGUGAUCUAUAUGUGUCUUACAGCACAUUUUGGUGGAAAUAAAACUAUGUUUUUAAAUAAAAAGAUCCUCAAUUUUUGCCACAUAGCUAAUCAGAGACGAGACAAUUGGAAAAACGGUUUAUAGGUGUUCAAAAAGGAAAAUUUCAUUUUAACCCUACAGAUUUUUCCCAUUUGUUUUAAAAGAUAACUCAAUUUUNUUUUUUUUUUUUUUUUUUUUUUUUUUUUUUUUUUUUUUUUUGUAGUUGCAAUAUAGUCGAAUGAGACCUCCUAAAUAAAUCCUUAAACAUGUGAAGGUUUUCGAAUAGAUUGCCAUUGCGAUCUGUUGCUUGUUGGUUGGGUUUAGUUCAGGUGGUUGGAUUUAGAGAUGUGGAGUUGGUUGGGUUUAGUUCAGGUGGUUGGAUUUAGAGGUGUGGAGUUGGACGAAAUCAGUUUUUUGGUGGCAAAAUGUGUUUUCUGAUUUCGUGUUUAACUUUUAAUCAAUAGUAUUGUGGGUAAUCUAAUAUGUUUUAGUGUAAUAUUGUGGCCAUUGUGGGUUUUGGUUUGGGUUUUCGUGGGUUUUUGCAACAUUAUAACAUUGCUUUUAUUGAUGGCCACUAUGUUCGUAGUAAUUGUAAUCUCAUGACAAUGUAAUCGUAGUAAUUGUAAUCUCAUGACAAUGUAAUCAGUUUAUGUCGACCAGGUAAUACAUUUUGAUGAAUGGAGAUAUUAUGUAGUUUGGAUUGAAGAGGGUUGUUGCUUAUUAAUGUAAUGUACUUUGAUUGAAACAAUCAUUUUCAAUCAAAGUACAUUUCAUUAAUAAGAAACAAUCAUUUUCAAUAUAAACUACAUAUCAUUUCCAUUCAUCAAAAUGUAUUACCGAGUCGUCAUAAACCUAUUUCAUUGUCAUUGAAUUACAACUACUAUGUAACCAUCAUCAAAAGCAAAUGCAAGGUUAUAAUAUUACAAAAACCCACAAAAACACAAACCAAAACCCACAACGGACACAAAAUUACAUUAAAACAUAUUAGAUCAACCUAAAAUACUACGUGAUCAAAAGUUAAACAUGAAACCAAAAAAACACAUUCCAACUACAAAAAAACCGAUUCCGCCAAAAUCAACACCUUUAAAUCCAACCACAUGAACAAAAAAC